rnacentral:pre_miRNA from 1 species
ACUUGUGAGGAAAUAAAGGAAGUUAGGCUGAGGGGCAGAGAGCGAGACUUUUCUAUUUUCCAAAAGCUCGGUCUGAGAGCCCCUUCGUGUGCUGAGUAGCCCAC